rnacentral:ribozyme from 11 species
GAAAGAAAGAAAGAAAGAAAGAAAGAAAGAAAGGAAACAUGAGGGGAUGUAGAAGAUCACCUCUCCUCUUUCCUCCAUCAAU